rnacentral:pre_miRNA from 1 species
UCACACGAUGCAUUUUUCUCGCGCAUCUAGUGUCGCGAAUUUUCAUUUCGCGACACUAGAUGCGCGAGAAAAAUGCAUCGUGU